GGAGGCAUAGCUCAGUGGCAGAGCACCUGCUUUGCGUGCAGAAAGUCCCAGGUUCAAUCCCUGGUGUCUCCA